rnacentral:tRNA from 1 species
AAGGGAGACCUAAUUCAGGUAGGAGACGAAAAAAAAGUAGUCCCAACCAAGAGUCAAUCCCAAAAGGUCGGAGCGAGGCGAAAUUGGCUUUCAAACUAGGUUCUGGGUUCACACAAGACCUGAAUCAGGAACAAGGGCUAUUAGCUCAGGUGGUUAGAGCGCACCCCUGAUAAGGGUGAGGUCCCUGGUUCGAGUCCAGGAUGGCCCACCUGCACAGGUGGCAAAAACAAGAGAAGCGAGGAAUCAGCACCUUAUCUUAUCUAUAUAUAUAUAGGAGAGAAUGCUGGCUCUGAGUAAAGAGUCCAGAGGAACCUUGAAAACUGCAUAGAGCUAGGUGAAAAAGCCAAAAAAGAAGACCGCAA